UUAUAAUGUUUUUUUCCACAUAAUUUUGAGACAUAAGUAGUUCAAGUCUUACUAUUCCUAUUUUACAGAUGAGAAAAUGGGCUCCAAAAGUUUUAGUAACUUGCCCCCAUUCCCUGAAUCCAGCAUACUAUUCAUCAUGCCAAGUUAUAGGAUCACCUUUUUAUUUCAUUUUUCUCUUUUGCUCUCAUUAACUCUCCUACUCUAAAUCUUUUAUACUUCACUUUUUCCUUUCAUCAGAACUCUGAAGAAAAAUGGUUCCUGUAUUUUUGAUCACCAUUUUCUGCUCCUUUUUUAUUUGUUGUCUUCUACAAUACAAACUUUCUCUUGGUUAUUCUCCUAAAGAAAAAAAAAACCCAAAGACCAUUCCCAUGUAUAAUCUUACCCUCCAUUUUCCCUCAGCUGUUAUUUUUUUCCUUCUGAUAAACUAAUUUGUUUAUAUCUUCUCUACUUCUCCCAUUCACUCCCCAACCCCUUGCAGUCUGGCUUUAUCCCAGUUUUUCUCCUGUUGGCUAAUGAUUUCUCUAUCAUCAGAUCAAAUGGUACUUUUUUUAGUCCUUAUCCUCCCUAACCUCUGAAGCAUUUCCUACUCAAUGUCCUUUCUUCCAAGCCCCAUGACCAUUCUCUUCAGUGAGGCAUUCUUAAACCUCAGUGCUUAAUCUCUUACUCAUUAGAUUUUUCAUAAGACUUUUAUGGCUCGCCUUUGCAUUUAUCACAUACUUAUUUAUAUUAGCUAUUUGUGCUGGAAGAUUCACACUCCAUUAAAUUUUGAGGAGAGAAAUAGAAACAAACAAUAACUAUGUGGGAGAUGCCCUGCUAGAAUUACAACACUAAUGAUGUAGACUCUGGAAAUGCCUCCUAUGUCUAAGAAGACGUUAUUAAAGCUUUUUUUUUUUUUUUUCCUUUGGCUUAAGGUGACAUCUUUGAACACUUUAACACAUAAUUGACUCUUCUUGUAUUGGUUCUCAUCAGCGCAUCUGCCCUUAUACUCUCACCAAACACUUGAGAACUGUAACUUUGUCAAGCACUUUCUGUCCUGAAGCUUUUACCAGUAUCUGCUGUCUUUUGUAAUUAUGCAUCCUAGCUAAGGCACAGGAGACUGAAUGAAUGCAAGGAUUCAUUAACUCUUUGAAUUUGUUAAAUACUAACAACCAUUAGAAGUGGUUCAAUGAUGUAAGAUUCAUACUGCUUCAACUUUUUCUUUGUCGUAGUUUUUUAAUUGUCAAUUUUUAGCUCUUUGACAACUUAAAAGCAAAAUCAUGCCAUAUUUAGUCCUGGAGUAAAACUCAAGUCUAAAUGUUCAUGUGAAAAUUAUUGUAGUAAACUUUCAAUAUGGCAAAGCAACCUUAAGCUAUAUUUUAGCCAAACAAAAUAUAAUCUAAAAUUAUAUUAGAAUGAUAUUUCCCUUGUCUCAAAUUGUUUGGUGUAACAGCAUAUUGAUAUGCAGCUUGGUGGAUGUCACCAAUUAAUGCACAUUCUUCUUCCUCUUCCCCUAUUCUCCUCCCCCAACUUAUAACAUGUAUACUGAAAAAUGUGCAUUUGUCUGAGGAAUUAUUUUGUUUGCUACCACUUGAUGAAUCUCAAAGUUUUAAGUAAAUGUACCUCAGUCUAAUCAGACUUUUUAUGACCUUUCUAACUACAUUUAAAAUAAUCCUUAAUUCUUAUUUCUGGAUCUUUGCGAGCCUGACAGAUUGCUAUCAUGAAGUAAAAAAUUUACUCCUAGAUGAUUCAUUAGCUAAAUAAACAUAGUUCUUGUUUAGCAAGCAUAUACUGUUUCUCACCUUUUUUCCUCCAGCUUUCGCAAUGUCCUUAGCAUCCUCAAAAUACUUUGAAAUAUGGCCUUGAUCCAUGGAUUAAAUCAGUAUCUAAGUGAAUAUAUUGAUGUUUUAUUGAUCAGAGCUAUAUAAGUGGGAAUAUAGCAUAUCUGGGUAUUAUAGUUGCCUUUUUUUUUUAAACAUCUUACCUUUUCUUUAAUUUUAGCUACAUAUCAGCAUUAAUUUUGUAUCUUGGAAAAAAUUGAUUUAAACAGUUUAAAACAUCAAGCAUCUAUAUUAACUGAUUUGAUUACAUAACAUGAUGAUGAUGAACAUAAUAUACUAGCACCAGAAAUUACUGUCCUAAAAGGGAAAAAAAAAACUGUGUAGAAAGAAAAUGUGUUAAGGCUGUUAAUAGCAAUACAGAAGAUCCGAAUACCUUGAUGUUUCACAUUACUCCACAUAUGUUCACAUCAUGUUUGGAAAUGUUUCUAUUUACUGUGGUCUCAGUGAUCACUUCAGUUCCAAAAUUUAAUGAUAAAUAUAGCAUUGGUUUCUCUGAGGCUUUCAUUUAAAUAUUUUUAGGUUGCACAGUUCUUUUUCCUGUGUAAAUACUGUAUCCAAAUGAAAUGAUACAGUACUUACAAAUAACGAUAGCUAUUUCACAGCUACUUAGUAGUCAGUCUAGUUAUUUCAAUGUGUUGAGAACAUUCAAAUCUCAGUAGCAUAAAACAAAAACACUUUUCUUAAAGGGAAAUUGCACCUAUUUUACCCAUUCUAAGUGUUUAAAAAAGUAAGCCAUGAAACCUUUUAUAUUGUGUCUGUUAUAGUUGUUUAUAUUGCAAUUGGCAUUUGAGUAUAAUUACCAAACUUUUUUUUUUUUUUUUAAAUCAGUAAUGAUAAUAGGGCAUAUCAUAUCUUCAGGAUGUUGGCUAUUCUGCUUGGUCUAAGGAACUGAUCCUUUAGAGCUUCAGAGAGAGCCUGAGCCCUUCUUUACCCCCAGAGGGCCUCUAUUUUUUGGCACUUUAAUACAAAUUUUGUUUUUUAAAAAUACAUCUAGUUCAAAUUUGUUUCAUUUAUGUAGACUUCUAUGGGAUAAAUCAGCCUGGGAGCGCUUUUCAGCAGGCCAGCUGAUUGCAAUAGCAGGCUCAAAUGUCAUGUGUAAUUAAAUAGUUUGAAAUAAGAGUUAUUCACAGUGAGAAAUACAUUGCAGUGCCUUCAACCUGGAUUGCUAACGUUAAGUGAAAUAGGUGCAAUAGUCCUUUGGAAUAAGAAUUUUCUAUUUUAUAAUGUAGGGUUUUCUCCCAAUUGGUAAUUGUUUUUCUUCAUUAAAUUUUCUUCUAAGCACCCGUUUUCUCUUCCUUCUUGGUCUAUCAACAUAGUACUUAUAAAAUUUAUUUUCCUUCAGUGAAGCUAAUAGAUAAUUGUCUCAGCAGCACAACUGAAUGUUCUUUAACUGUAGGACCAAAUGGCAGAGAAUCUGGGUUCUGAGAUGGGAGAGCACUUACCAAAUAUUUGAAGUAAUAGAGCAUACAGAAAAAUUAUUGGCCCAGUAAAUUUUUUGUUUAAUGUUUUUCCUAGUUCUAGUUUGAAUGUUUCUUAUUAAAAUUACCUUCUGUAGGUAUUUUAUGUUGGAAGGUGUCCUAGUUUAUAUAUUUAAAAGUAAAUAACUAACCAAAAUUAGUAUUCUUUCUCUAUACAUACUGGUAUACAUACUGGUACUUGCAGAUUCUUUCCAAAAGAAGCCCCAGCCUUUUUUUAGUUUUGGUAUUUCUUUCCACAUUUUUAACUUACAAUAGUCAUUCUAAACCAAGAACUGUGUUCUUUUUGAAUACCAUGCAUGGGGGUGGGGCUGAUGUUAAACAGUUUGCAAUAAAAAGAAUCAGCUUAAGUAAUUUAAUACUUUCAAAUGAAUUUUGCAUCCUUUAAAAAUAAGUUUUAAGGAAUUUAAGAGACUUGUGUUUUCAUUAAGUUUUGCAUAUCUUUUGUUAUGCCAUGUAAAUUCCCUUCUCUUUUUCUUAUGAUUAAAGAAAAGGUUAUGAUAAAAUGAUUAGUUCAUUUACAUUCUCUUGUAGCAAGAACAUGGGACUUUGAAUUUUGUCGUGUUUGGGUUUGUUCAUUCAUGUGAAUGAUGGUACAGUUGGGUGAGGAUUUCUGUUAUGGUACCAAAACUCACCAUUUGGUCCUCUUUAAUCUUUGAGGGUUUCAAUAAAAACUGUUCACUCA